CGGGCGGCACCGUCUGUGGAGUCGCCGUUAACGACGGGCAAAAUGAAUGCAUCCCCGUCCACCAGCUUCGGCCCCUGUUUUCAGCGAAAGAUGAUCGAGCCGAGUAAAAAUUAGAGCCGGAGGGCGGCGUCGGUGGCGGCUACAUCGGCGGCAUUCUCGCACACUGAUUCCCUGCUCGCAUCACCGGACGUGGUCUCCGAUUACUGCUGGCGCAGCCGUGGCGAUGGAUUUUCCCGUCGCUCCGAUGGACAGGUUGCCCAUAUUCCCGGAUGAGGCGGCUAGCGCGGCGGCCCUAAUUGAAUUGAUUGGUGGGGCUGGUCGUGCGGAAAAGGAAUUAACCAACGGAUCUGGCGGGGCGGUGGUUGGAGGAUUUGGGCGCAGCUCAGCUGGGCAGUUCGGGGGUGGUGCUAUGUGCGGCGAGGAAACAAGUGUGGCUGCCGGCGGCCCUGCCGUGUCAAUGCAAACGCCGUUGACCAGGGCGGCGUUGAAGCACAUUUUGAUGGAGAUCAGGGCGCUGUGAUUCAAGAUCGAACAGGAAGUGGCGAUGGAGGCUCUCUGCACAAUCGACUGGCAAGGUGGAUCCCCAAGCCCCUGGAUGGACUAAGAGGUAAUUGGGAUUUUCUGUAGAACUGCAUUCUGUACCUUGCAACCGUAGUUGGAAUGAUGCCCUGUUUAUUUUAGUUUGUUAUGCUGGCUAGUGAAUUGUCAGUUUGAUAAAACCAUUGUUUGGGGACUUUUUGCUGACGGCGGAGAGAGCUGCGGCCCUGAGGCCUUCUGUUGGUGGCCGGGUAUCAAGCAUGAGCAAGCUAGCAAUGGCGACGGACUUUCCCGUACACCAAUAGACAGUGUUAGAGUUGGAAAACACCUGCCGAACGCCUUGUCCGGAAAAGAGUUGGCGCCCUACCGCAGACGAUCCGCGGAUACACGGACAACCUCGGUGGUCAUUUAGUGGAAACUGAGAGUGUGUUGACAUUCGACUCUCUCGAAGAAGAUUGGGAGCACGGAUUUGGGAUAAGAUAUGGGAAAAGCAGGCUCAAUGCUGAGAAGACCAAGUGUAUGCAGGAAGUUGUCUGCAGGUGCUCUGGGAAGCCAAUAAAAGAAAACGGCAGGGCUUGCCGUUGUGAGUGCCCGGCUAUGAUCAGAUUGCUUCGGACACACGACAACGGGUGGUACAUAACCGAACACAGGGUGAAUCACAACCACUCACUGACACCUACAUGUGGCGAGAAGGUGAAUUGGCCGGCCCACAUCAAAUUGAUGUCUACAUGAAGGAUCUGGUAAAACAGUUAUAAAUAAUAGCAAGUUUUUGCGGGUAGACACAUUGGCUGGCAUUUGUGCCCCUGAGAAGAAGUGAAAUGCAGGACAGCCGACAAACAGCUGUGAUAAAGCACCAUAUGAGGAGUUGAGUAUGAGAACUACAUUUUGCAGCAUCUGCAGAGGUAAGAGGCAUAAGAAGACCACCCGUCGACAGAGAGAUGAUUUGCCGAAACAACCAAGGAAGGAAGCAAAAUGCAGUAACUGUGGUGCAGCGGGACACAGGAAAAAUAAUUGCAUGAACCCUGAAGGUGUUAAGCUGCAAAUUGGGCCUGCAUGGCUAGGGAUAGCAGAUUUAAGAUUCAAUUUGCAAACAAACAAAUGUUUUAUGAUUGAGGCAAGCUUGUUGUGACGCCUGGGUAAUUAAGCUACAGUAAUCCCCGCUAA